rnacentral:lncRNA from 1 species
CACAUCUCUGAAACAAUCAACCACUCAGCUUCUCUCCCACUGUGGCUCUUCUGGAAUAAAUGAGGAAUGUAACAUACAGGUCAGUAAGAAAUGGGCUUCUCCCAUCACUGUCAAGUCGUAUGGUGACUUCUACAUUUAAAGCAGGCCUUAGAUCUCUGAUUGUGUCCUGUAAGAAAUUUCUUGAAGUAUACGGCAACCCUAAAUAUAAAAAAACAACUUUGUGUUUACACAAAAAGAUCUCAUUCUUGAAAUCCAUUCAGAAACAAGCUGGAAUGAUUUAAAGUGGACUAUGACUUGUGUUGGGAAAGCACCUAAGGAAGGGGAAGCUGCAUUCAGUGAAAAUUCUCUGUGUCUUACUGAUGGAGUCACAUCUUAUUGGGGCUAUCUGGCUCUGAUCAUUCAAGUGACUGAAACACGAAGCAGUGUUUGAGUAACUUGGUUUCUCAAAAAUCAGGUUAAUAAGGCUCUGGAAUUUGUUCUCUUGCCAGGUGU